rnacentral:rRNA from 1 species
ACGAACGCUGGCGGCGUGCUUAACACAUGCAAGUCGAACGGUGAAGCGCCUUCCUUUUUGGUGGGUGUGGAUGAGUGGCGCACGGGUGAGUAACACGUGAGUAACCUGCCCCCUUCUUCUGGAUAACCGCAUGAAAGUGUGGCUAAUACGGGAUAUUCUGGGUCUGUCGCAUGCUGGGUCUGGGAAAGAUAUUGUUUCGGUGGGGGAUGGGCUCGCGGCCUAUCAGCUUGUUGGUGGGGGGAUGGCCUACCAAGGCGGUGACGGGUAGCCGGCCUGAGAGGGUGGACGGUCACACUAGGAAUGAGCGACGGACCAGACUCCGAAGGGAGGCAGCCGGGGGGAAUAGUGAACAAGGGGAGAAAGGCUGAUGCAGCGACGCCGCGUGAGGGAUGGAGGCCUUCGAGUUGUGAACCUCUUUCGCAAGUGAAGCAGGGCUGCCUCGUCUGUGGGUGGGUUGACGGUAGCUGAAUAAGAAGCGCCGGCUAACUACGUG